GAACGGGUGGGUAAUACAUAAGUAACCUGCCCUAGACAGGGGGAUAACUAUUGGAAACGAUAGCUAAGACCGCAUAGGUACGGACACUGCAUGGUGACCGUAUUAAAAGUGCCUCAAAGCACUGGUAGAGGAUGGACUUAUGGCGCAUUAGCUGGUUGGCGGGGUAACGGCCCACCAAGGCGACGAUGCGUAGCCGACCUGAGAGGGUGACCGGCCACACUGGGACUGAGACACGGCCCAGACUCCUACGGGAGGCAGCAUG
rnacentral:rRNA from 1 species